GCCUCUAUGGCACAGGGGUAAUGCGUGUCACUCGUAUAGUAAUUGAACUUGCGGUGUUAUGACAAGAUCCGCGGUUCGAUUCCGCGUGGAGGCA